rnacentral:rRNA from 1 species
AUUGAACGCUGGCGGCAUGCCUUACACAUGCAAGUCGAACGGCAGCACGGGUGCUUGCACCUGGUGGCGAGUGGCGAACGGGUGAGUAAUACAUCGGAACGUACCUUAUCGUGGGGGAUAACGCAGCGAAAGCUGUGCUAAUACCGCAUACGCCCUGAGGGGGAAAGCGGGGGAUCGCAAGACCUCGCGCGAUUAGAGCGGCCGAUGCCUGAUUAGCUAGUUGGUGGGGUAAAAGCCCACCAAGGCGACGAUCAGUAGCUGGUCUGAGAGGACGAGCAGCCACACUGAGACUGAGACACGGACCAGACUCCUACGGGAGGCAGCAGUGGGGAAUUUUGGACAAUGGGGGCAACCCUGAUCCAGCAAUGCCGCGUGAGUGAAGAAGGCCUUCGGGUUGUAAAGCUCUUUUGUCAGGGAAGAAACACCGGCUCUAACACAGUCCGGGAAUGACGGUACCUGAAGAAUAAGCACCGGCUAACUACGUGCCAGCCGCCGCAGUAA